rnacentral:rRNA from 1 species
UACGGAGGGUGCAAGCGUUAUCCGGAUUUACUGGGUUUAAAGGGUGCGUAGGUGGGUCUGUAAGUCAGUGGUGAAAUCUCCGGGCUUAACUCGGAAACUGCCAUUGAUACUAUAGAUCUUGAAUUAUCUGGAGGUGAGCGGAAUAUGUCAUGUAGCGGUGAAAUGCUUAGAUAUGACAUAGAACACCAAUUGCGAAGGCAGCUCACUACGGAUACAUUGACACUGAGGCACGAAAGUGUGGGGAUCAAACAGG